UACGUAGGGGGCAAGCGUUGUCCGGAAUUAUUGGGCGUAAAGCGCGCGCAGGCGGUCCUUUAAGUCUGAUGUGAAAUCUUGCGGCUUAACCGCAAGCGGUCAUUGGAAACUGGGGGACUUGAGUACAGAAGAGGAGAGCGGAAUUCCACGUGUAGCGGUGAAGUGCGUAGAGAUGUGGAGGAACACUAGUGGCGAAGGCGGCUUUCUGGCCUAUAACGGACGCUGAGACGCGAAAGCGUGGGGAGCAAACAGG
rnacentral:misc_RNA from 1 species